rnacentral:rRNA from 1 species
UACGGAGGGUGCAAGCGUUAUCCGGAUUCACUGGGUUUAAAGGGUGCGUAGGUGGGCAGGUAAGUCAGUGGUGAAAUCUCCGGGCUUAACUCGGAAACUGCCGUUGAUACUAUCUGUCUUGAAUAUCGUGGAGGUUAGCGGAAUAUGUCAUGUAGCGGUGAAAUGCUUAGAUAUGACAUAGAACACCAAUUGCGAAGGCAGCUCGUUACACGAAUAUUGACUCUGAGGCACGAAAGCGUGGGGAUCAAACAGG